AUAUACAGGGACUCAGACCCUACUACUACCCACCAACCAGUGCCCACUCACCGACCCGUAUCUCCAUCCCAACACGUCCAACGACCCUGGCGCCUGGGAAAGUUGAAACAGAAGGGAGAAGCAAGGCAUAGAGAGCGACCGGGAGAUGGAGAGAGGACAAGAGACCCAAAAAGAGAGAGUCGCCCUACACCCUCGACAACGCAUCAGCUAGAAUGUUAUUGGUCAAAGGGGCGACGACAGACGAGAAGUUUUUACAGAAAUUCCUGUAAUAUCCAGCCAUACCUAAGAAUCGCCGUACCUCUCGGCGGGUGGUUGGUACAGGAAACUGACAAAUAGCCUCAACCUUUGCUCCUACGGGACGCACUUGCCCCCUGCUAAUGACCUUACCCAAGUAGGGUACAGUAGCUCUACCAAACUCACACUUGGCAAGGUUAAUGGUAAGGUUAU